GUCCACGCUGUAAACGAUGAUCACUAGAUGUUAGACCCGUUUUAGGGUUUAGUGUCGUAGCUAACGCGUUAAGUGAUCCGCCUGGGAAGUACGGUCGCAAGAUUAAAACUUAAAGAAAUUGACGGGGGUCGCACAAGCGGUGGAACAUGUGGUUUAAUUCGAUACUACGCGAGAAACCUUACCUAGGCUUGACAUGCUUUUGAUCGAUGUUGAAAUGCAUCUUUCUAAAUUUCGGUUUAGACAAUUGCACAGGUGCUGCAUGGCUGUCGU
rnacentral:rRNA from 1 species